rnacentral:rRNA from 1 species
GAUGAACGCUGGCGGCGUGCCUAAUACAUGCAAGUCGAGCGAACGGACGAGAAGCUUGCUUCUCUGAUGUUAGCGGCGGACGGGUGAGUAACACGUGGAUAACCUACCUAUAAGACUGGGAUAACUUCGGGAAACCGGAGCUAAUACCGGAUAAUAUUUUGAACCGCAUGGUUCAAAAGUGAAAUACGGUCUUGCUGUCUCUUAUAGAUGGAUCCGCGCUGCAUUAGCUAGUUGGUAAGGUAACGGCUUACCAAGGCAACGAUGCAUAGCCGACCUGAGAGGGUGAUCGGCCACACUGGAACUGAGACACGGUCCAGACUCCUACGGGAGGCAGCAGUAGGGAAUCUUCCGCAAUGGGCGAAAGCAUGACGGAGCAACGCCGCGUGAGUGAUGAAGGUCUUCGGAUCGUAAAACUCUGUUAUUAGGGAAGAACAUAUGUGUAAGUAACUGUGCACAUCUUGACGGUACCUAAUCAGAAAGCCACGGCUAACUACGUG